GACGAACGCUGGCGGCGUGCUUAACACAUGCAAGUCGAACGGAGACAUAUUUUGAAGUUUUCGGAUGGAAAGAUAUGUUCUUAGUGGCGGACGGGUGAGUAAUGUAUGAGCAACCUACCUUUAAGAGGGGGACAACAGUUGGAAACGACUGCUAAUACCGCAUAAGACCACAGAGCCGCAUGGCUCAGGGGUCAAAGGAGAAGUCCGCUGAAGGAUGGCCUCGCGUCCGAUUAGCUAGAUGGCGGGGUAACGGCCCACCAUGGCGACGAUCGGUAGCCGGACUGAGAGGUUGAUCGGCCACAUUGGGACUGAGACACGGCCCAG
rnacentral:rRNA from 1 species